AUCCACAUAACAAACCUCUGCUGCUCUGGACAGUUCCUGACACGGACAGAGGUGGCAGCAGAGAGCACUGUGGUCAGACUGGAAACAACCACACAACUUCCCGUGGAGAGUACAGCGGCUGAUAAGUACUGGAAGGAUUAAGAUUUUUUUUAAUAGGAGUAAUUUACAAAUCUGUAUAACUUUCGGGCACCAGUCGAGUUGAAAGCAUUCCUUUUCCUCCGGAGUACCCCUUUAAUAAAGUGUGAAAUUUAUGAAAUGACAUUUUAUGUGCUCUUAGCCAACGCAAUGCAAUCAGAUUCUAAGUGCUUUUCUCCAUCAUUCUUCCAUCAUGUGACAAACGGCUGAAACUGAAGAAGAUAGCAGACUAUACAUCAAGUGCCAGUCAAUAGCUUCAUCUGUGAUCCUGGCCAAAAAAUAGGAGCAGAAAUUAUGCUUCAAAGGCUGCAGAUCUAUAAUGGCGAUGGUCCAAUCCCACUGGUGUACUGCUCAUUCUAGUAAGCACAGCCGUGAGAUUACUGUCACUCUACAUGCCUCCACCCCACUACCAUUCCUAUGCUGCUGUUCCUGGCUCUGCCUGUAUGAGCGGAAGAAGAAGGAAGUUUUUACAAAGAUUUGAAAAGCAGAAGUACAUUGUGGUCGGCCGAAAACAUGAAACAUCACAUUAUUUUCCCCUAGAAAGGAAGUCGAGCAUGACAUGGAAAAUGCAUG